GAGGGCGCUCUGUUUCCUUUCCUGUAUAAACCUGACAGUCGCUCAGAGCAUAAGUGACGAUCUCCUCAAGGACGCAGUUUCAAAAGUCAAAGAAACUCAUUUGGAAAGGAUGAAAAUGCAAUAUCGCGUUUGGGCAGCAGGCGGUGAUCUUGACCCAAAAUAGCAUCAGCAACGGUCGCAGCUUUUGGCAAUGCGAAUAAGGAAGUAUUAAACGUGAGGGGUGAACAAACAAGAGUGUUGGUAUGAAUUGUUUUGAAUUGUUUUCACAAGAAGACCAGAAAUUUUAUCUGAAAUAAAAAAUAUAGACGUAUCUGAUCUGCUUCCGGCUACCAAAUACGCAAUAGACUCAAAUUGUAGCGACUCGGGGCCAUGCGAUGCAUCUUUGCCAUAUUGAACUCAAACCGGAUAUUGUAACAAUCUGGGCCAACCUGACUUGGGAACUAGUUUGCCCACUUUUUGACGAUUGAUACCGAGUGCUCACGACGACGGCAUUUCCGCGCCUAGAAUAACUGCAGCUAGUGGAAAUCCGCUACCAAAUUCCAGAUCUAUUUCUACGACGAUACGAUGUUGAUUAUAGAGUUUGCAUAGUUUUUGGAUCACGAUAUUACCUUAACAUCCCAAAAUCAAAGAUUUGAUGACUCUAUUCCAUCUUGCAGACCCUGCGACAGCAAACAAACCGUACACCCCGAAUGUAGCCGGUUCCAAAUACCUCCAGAUCAUGACUCUUGUCCCCAUUCAAUAGUACCACCGGCGAACAAGCAUGCUCCCCGUCUAUGAGAACUUUGCAGGGACAAAGUACACUUGGCUCCAGGGAACAAGUCAAUCAUAGGGAGAGAAUAACUGCGUACUUCAAAUGGUUAAAGGGGAGAAUUGAAGAUUAAAUGCGUCAGAUCUCGGAGAUGGAUCGAAUGACUAUUUGCCCAGAACUACUACUAAUGUGGAACGCAAAUCUACAUCAAAAUUAUGAUUCUGUGGAACCUGCUUCGGAACAAGCAGGUUUGAUGAUGAUGCACACGAUUUUCUUGAGGGAACACAAUAGAAUAAAUGACGUCUUGAAAACUUUCAAUCCAUCCUGGAGAGCAGAUAAGCGAUUUAAUGAAACUAGAAGGAUAGUUGUUGCCAUUCUACAGCACAUCACUUACAACGAAUUUUUACCGGCAUGCUGUCUUAUACUCUCCUUACCAACCGUUUUUGUUUUUAAAAACUAUUCCUUUAGAACAUAACACAAAUUUAAAACACUACUUUAUUUAAACUAAAAAAUUACAGAAUAAUAACCAACUCCAAAAUCUCAAAUCCCAAAUCCGUUGUUCCUGCGGCGUGCCAGGUAGCUGGACCGUGGGCGUCGAAGAGUUCUAGAACGUUGAGGAAUCACUCGCUUCUUAGUCAGCAUUACUCAGCAGACAAUGUAAUACAAUACUAAUGACUUUGAGGUUCAAUAAUAAGGUUAGAUUGUUGUAAACAGAUUGAAUUACUCCAUAUAACAACUCCCCUUUUCAAAAAAAAAUUGUUAUUUUAAUUUUUAAAACAAAAUAAUUAUACUAAAUUUUUGAUUGGAGUCAGAGCGAUAUCUCCUUCAUCUUCUUCUAUUGCUUCUCCAACUCUAAUGCUUGGUCUUCUUUUUACGAGAAUUCUUGGUAAUCUUCGUAAAAUGUUUUCUUCAUUCUUUGGAGGUUGUAGUGGCGAUGGUUGGUUUAAACUUCCAAUAGCUAACUGUCUUUUACGAUUUUUACAUUUAAAGUAACAAAAUAAAAUAAUUAAGCAAAUGAUUAAUAGAAUUGAUAAAUAAGUAAGCCAUGGUGGAAAUUUUUCAAUAUAAGGUUCAUUUAUUAUAUGGUCUAGAAUUUUCGAAUAUUGAUCAAGUUUAUGUUUUGUAAUUUCUAAUUCAUCAAAAUUAAUGUUACUUAACUUUAAAGGUCGUAAGUUAGGCAAUUUUAUUUUUUCUGGUAAAUCUUUACAACAAUCAUACGGAAUGAUUACCGCCUGUGUUUCAUAGGAUAUAUUUGACAAUUUGAUUAAAUCUGCUUGUACUUUUGUAUUUCCAAUAAAAGAACUACAGUAAGGAUACAAAGUUAGAAUUGUAUUUUCUAUAAUACCUUCAGAACAUGGUUCAUGAUGUGGGCAUUUAAUAGUAAUUGGUAAUUGUUCUGAUACACUUAUUAACUAUUUGUUUGUUUUUAAUUUUUGAAUAUUAUAUAACAAAACAAUUUGACAAGUAUUUGGAAGAGACAAUUUACUUUUAAAUGAUUGAGUUUCGCAUUGGGCAUUUGUAUCAAUUGGAUAAUGAAAUAUAUUUUGACAUAAUAAUGCGUAAUAUGCGUUUUUACAAUUUUCUAUACUUUCAAUAGGAUUGUACAUUUCUGAAUCAUAACC